UGGGGAAUUUUGCACAAUGGGGGAAACCCUGAUGCAGCGACGCCGCGUGAUUUAGAAGGCCUUCGGGUUGUAAAAAUCUUUUCCAUGGGAAGAAAAUGACAGUACCAUAGGAAUAAGGACCGGCUAAUUACGUGCCAGCAGCCGCGGUAAUACGUAAGGUCCGAGCGUUGUCCGGAAUCAUUGGGCGUAAAGGGUACGUAGGCGGGUAAGCAAGUUAGAAGUGAAAUCCUGUAGCUCAACUACAGUAAGCUUUUAAAACUGCUCAUCUUGAGAUAUGGAAGGGAAAGUGGAAUUCCUAGUGUAGCGGUGAAAUGCGCAGAUAUUAGGAGGAAUACCGGUGGCGAAGGCGACUUUCUGGCCAUAAUCUGACGCUGAGGUACGAAAGCGUGGGUAGCAAACAGG
rnacentral:rRNA from 1 species